rnacentral:rRNA from 1 species
UACGUAGGUGGCGAGCGUUGUCCGGAUUUACUGGGCGUAAAGAGCGCGCAGGCGGUCGUUCAAGUCGCGUGUGAAAGCCCCGUGCUCAACGCGGGAGGGUCAGGGCAAACCGGCGGGCUUGAGGCCGGUAGAGGUGGGUGGAACUCCUGGUGGAGUGGUGAAAUGCGUAGAGAUCAGGAAGAACACCCGUGGCGAAGGCGGCCCACUGGGCCGGACCUGACGCUGAGGCGCGAAGGCGUGGGGAGCGAACGGG